rnacentral:lncRNA from 1 species
CAGACCGCUUGCUGGAAACUGAAAGACUGUGGGCAGCAGAAAUCUGGGCACCAAUGUCCUGUGGGACAUCCUCUCAGGGGGUCAGGGGAUACGAGGGCCACAAGAGGCAUCGGAAGCUAUCGAGGCCACCGCCCAUCAGAGUUUGAGCGCCCUUGUUGUUCUCUGCCAAGCUGUUGCUCAGGCUCUACCUCAACACCUCCAGAGACGGGGACCUUGCCUCCCCCAGGAUGCCCACCACCCUAAGACUGAGAGGAUGCUGGGAACAGCUCGCCGGUUUUAUUCGAUUUGCAUCCUCAGAGCCUGGAAGACUCCAGAAAUGUCCAUCCUGUUCUCUUCCACCCCCCACCAGCCUUUGCUGAGCCUUGAGCGAAGUCUGGGGGGUCUAAGACAAGCAAAUGCAGUCCCUGCCUUGAGGAUCCCAGAGUCUAGAGAAGGAGGAAGGCCAUGGGCAGGUGAUGAUGAUACAGUGUGAUGGUGCCACAGUGGGGUCGUGCAGGUGAGACAGUUGAGCAGACGCUCAUGGAAGGGGCUCCCACCAGGCACUGUGGGCUCUCGCCUGCCGGGCAGGUGGGAAUGAGUGACUGAAAGGCCUUCGCUCUGUGGGCCUGAGGUCAGCAGAGACUUCCUUGACUCGUACCAUCGAGAAGACAGGGCCUGGGAGGAGCAAUUAAAAGUAGAAAUGACUUGAAAGUCCAGAAAGAGAAGCAACGUUCGUAGCAGUUCUGGUACCAAAAUGCCUGCCAAAGGAUCCUAGGUAUGUAUGACAUGCGCCGCACGAUGACGUUGAGGUCAAUGACAGACUGUGUAUACGACGGUGCAGUACCAUACAGCCCAGGUGUGCAGUAGACUGCACCGUCUGGAUUCAUGUGAGUACACCCAAUGAUGUUCACACAAUGGUGAAAUCACCUAAAGACACAUUUCUCGGAGUGUGUCCCUGUCAUUAACUGGUGCGUGACUGUACAGU